GGUUUUUCCUUUUCCUUUUGCUUUUUUGUUGUUUGUUCUUGUUGUUUUAGUGUAUUUUGUUGUACUUGUUCUUGUUUUGAUAUACUAUACAUACCAUAUGGGGGUGAUCUUGUUCAUCAAAAGAUUUAAAAAAAAACACUUGCACCAGCAGCCAAUUGAAUGACAAACAGAAGAAAUGACACGAACUUCCUGUCAUGGAUAGAAGGAGCUUGACAACAUUAGGGCUCCAUUUAGUUGGACAUAAAAUGUUUUCGUUUGGACAAAUUUGGAAGAUCUUACUAUUCGUAGAUGGAAAGCAGUAGAUGAAAGUGUGAAGGCACUUAUGCUUCAACACAUUAAGGUAAUUACAAUAUUUGCUUAUUUACUUAAAUCACAAUUCAUAUUAAUCAAUACCUUUGCUAUUGGCUUUGGCAGGAUCGAUUUAACUUGGAGGGAGAUCCCAUAGUUGUUGAUAAGGCAAUGGCAAGACAAUUUGGGCGUAGACUGAGUGAUUAUAGUCGUACGCUUUACAUAAAGUACAUCUAGAGUCAGUCACGAGCAGUGGAUUGGUCUAAUUAAUAAAAAUGGAGUGAUACCAAAUUUCUGGUAACCUCGUUAACCAAGGAAAUAUCCAUGUCCUAUUCAAGCAUCCUAACAAAAAAAUCAUAAACCUCUAGUCUUUCUUUUUUAGGAAGUUUAAUUCAUAUAGAACCAAACAAGUUAAAGAGAAGCUCUAUAUUGGUUGUUCUGCAUUUGUGAUGUCUAUUUUCUGUUUCUGUUUCUGCAUCAAUUUGGAAGAAACCUGUUUUCGUUUUCUAUAUCUUCAUCAGUUUUAAUUUAGACUACAUUUUUAGUUUUAGGUCAGUGAAGUGCACAUGUUAGUGAUUCAUGAUAUUGCUUUUGACCUCAUUUUAUUUUGGUUUCAUUUUGUAUAGGACUCGGGAAAAAAUUGUUUCAACAGGUUUAAUUGGGUUGGUUAAUGGUACUUUUCUUUUCAGCUUGUAAUGCUAUGGGCAAUUAAUCAAUUGCAGUUCUUGUUCCUCCGUUUUCUUGUGUGCUAUUUUUUAGAACAAAUCAACUAAAAACAUAAAAAACCGGAGUGAAAUGAAGUCCAAACAUAUAUAGAUGUGGUUCGAAGUCCAUCCUAGUGAGGGUAGAUGCAAUGGUGAGUUUUUUUAAAUUGUAGUUGUUAGAAUACAAAUAUGCUUAAUCUACUUAUUGGUUCAAAAACUAAACGAUCAGAUGCAAACCAAUGGAAAUCGUGUGCCGAAAUUGAAAGACAUUUACAAAUCCACCCACUUCAAUAACGAUACACAAUAGUGGAUCUCUGAAGAAUCCAAGAAAAACUAUAAGGACAAGAUCUUAGAGGUAGAGACUGAACAUUGUACUGAGGCUGGUGUGACGCCAAUGAGGAGCUUUCAAUCAAGUCGCUCAAGGCAAAAUCAGGAUAUGUUAAAGGACUGGGUACAAGAAUAUCAAAAGGAAUUGCAAGCACAACAACAAAAGAUAGAUGUGCUUUUAGAGUCAAACAAGCAGAUGGAGUUGACGACCGCUACGAUCAUGGAGUAUCUGAAACACCAAGGGAAUGGAUUGAGCGAAUAUAUUGAGAGUUCAAGAAGCACAUGAACAACAUGCUGGAUGAUUGGAUAUGCACAAGGUUGGUGGUCUAUAUGAGAAUGCCAAGAUCUUUUUGUGACCAUAGUUCUUUUUGUUAUGAUGCGCCGUCCAACAACUUUCCUUUUGUUUCGUGUCUUCAAUAUUUAGUUAACUCGGUUAUUUUUGGAUAGUGAAUGGACACCUUGAAACCUUUGUUAAGUUGUUAGUGGUAAUAUGAAGGUUAUUAGUUUGAUGUCUAAA